GUCUGUGGUUGUUUUUUUUCCGUGAAUAUUAGCUAUAGCAAGUGUUAGUUAACCACUUAGGUGACUGUGAUAACGAUAGACUGCUGCAGAAAUGUCUAAUGCUACACAGGUACAGGUACAUUUACAGGUACAGGUACAGGUACAGGUACAGUAAUACACAUCGAACGCACACCAUACACAAUGACCGAACACAGGACAAUGAAACAUGAGGGUACACCCAAAAAAAUGAUUCUUGUCAGUAAUUCAUAUUAGGCAAAUAAUUUAAAUAAAAUAUAUUUAAAAAAGUAUAAAGUACAUAUUAUUCUUUUGAUUUACGUUUACACGACAUGAAUAUAAUGCAUUCAAGAUCAAUGUGAUGAAAUUACAUACACUUUACUUGAUUCGUUGCCGUAAGGCGCAAAUGUAGAUGCUGCGCAUGCGCCUUAGAGUAAAAAUGACUGAUUGCGGAAGCACGUUGUUGAGCAGGUUUCUUUUGGAGGGAAGUUGAGCUGUCGAAAGCACGUUGCUUACUCGGCAUAUUACGAAAGAGACCUCUAAAAAUUAUAUUUUCCAGCGUAUUUUUAAGUCUGGUUUGAGAAAAUCAUUCAAUUAAGGCGAGUUCUGGGAAUGUGGCAAAAAGUCUGUGGCACAGAGCUAACUGAUGCUUAUCCACUGUAUGAUUAUAUGGUAGGAGGACGACCAAUGGUUACCCUGAAGACGAAUGGUAACCCUGAAGAGGCACAUUCUCCUAUAAGAAAAGAAAAGAAAAAUGUCAAGUCCAGUGAUUAUGAGGAUUGUUUUUGGUGGGCAGGAUGAUGCAAGAAAACUUGUACUCAAGAAAGGAAUCCCAAUGUCUGUCGAUGACUUUGUCCAUGACAUAAUCACAGUUUUUGGGGUGAAGCAAAAGUUCAGGCUGCAGUACAAAGAUAAGGACUUUGGAAAUGAAUAUGUGAAUCUCAUGUCUACCAGUGAAAUUGAAGACCGGGAUACCCUGAAACUGAUUUUUCUAUUGACCGAAGACUCUAAUUCCAGCAUGCAAGAGACUGAGCCUGCUUUACCUUACUGCUCCACCACACCUUCACCCAGUGGAUUUAGUACAGCUACCUGUGAUACUGCUGACGUGAGAGAUGUAAGCCCCUCUUCUAUUGACCCAGCCCAAGAAGUCAACUUGUAUGAUGACUCGGUAUGCAGCAGUGCUGAUACUGUCGUAGUUUUGUCAAGAACCUGUUCUUGGCCUUUUUUUAGUUCUUAUGUUCUGGUAAUAUUCUGCUUUGUUGUGUCAAAACAGAGUAAGGAAACUUUGCUACUGCACCUAAAAUAAGACCGCCUUGAAGGGUUGGCUCAGGAAAUCUUUAGGUAUGUUGCAUACCUAACUAAGAGCUUGUUUAGGCAGAUAAAGCAGCAAGUUUAAAUGUUAAAAAUGUGUUACUGUAAACUGUUAAGUUAGAAAUGUGUUCCUUUUUAUUUUUUAUAUAUAUUUGUACAUUUUAUGUUCUUUAAGUGACUUGAUUGUUUAUUGAAAUACACUGUACUGAGCAGGGAUAACUUAGUUACCUUGAAAAUGGUAAAAGAUUUUUUUUGGGGGGAAAUUCUGUGAGUUCGGGUUGGAAAAACACAGUACUGUGGACUUUAUGCUUGUCUGGUCUCUUAUGUUCUCAGCUUUGUUCAUUUUAGCAUCUGAACAUGGUUGUUGUGAGAGAGACUGGGUUACCAGGUAUUAAGAUGGAUGUUACUUUGACUCAUGGAGAAAUUGCAACAAUA